rnacentral:rRNA from 1 species
GACGAACGCUGGCGGCGUGCUUAACACAUGCAAGUCGAACGGUGAACCAGAGCUUGCUCUGGGGAUCAGUGGCGAACGGGUGAGUAACACGUGGGCAACCUGCCCCAGACUCUGGGAUAACCUCGGGAAACCGAUGCUAAUACCGGAUACGACCACUUCGGACAUCCGACGGUGGUGGAAAGUUUUUCGGUCUGGGAUGGGCCCGCGGCCUAUCAGCUAGUUGGUGGGGUAAUGGCCUACCAAGGCGACGACGGGUAGCCGGCCUGAGAGGGCGACCGGCCACACUGGAACUGAGACACGGUCCAGACUCCUACGGGAGGCAGCAGUGGGGAAUAUUGCACAAUGGGCGAAAGCCUGAUGCAGCGACGCCGCGUGAGGGACGACGGCCUCGGUU